UACGUAGGGUGCGAGCGUUGUCCGGAAUUAUUGGGCGUAAAGAGCUUGUAGGCGGUUUGUCGCGUCUGCUGUGAAAAUCUGGGGCUCAACCCCGGACGUGCAGUGGGUACGGGCAGACUAGAGUGCGGUAGGGGAGACUGGAAUUCCUGGUGUAGCGGUGAAAUGCGCAGAUAUCAGGAGGAACACCGAUGGCGAAGGCAGGUCUCUGGGCCACUACUGACGCUGAGAAGCGAAAGCAUGGGGAGCGAACAGG
rnacentral:rRNA from 1 species